rnacentral:tRNA from 1 species
GGGUUGUGGCUCAGUGGUAGAGCGCUUGCCUAGCAUGUGUGAGGCCCUGGGUUCAAUCCUCAGUAACUCA